GUAGGGGGCAAGCGUUGUCCGGAAUCAUUGGGCGUAAAGCGCGCGUAGGCGGCCCGGUAAGUCCGUUGUGAAAGUCGAAGGCUCAACCUUCGAAAGCCGAUGGAUACUGCCGGGCUAGAGUACGGAAGAGGCGAGUGGAAUUCCUGGUGUAGCGGUGGAAUGCGCAGAUAUCAGGAGGAACACCAAUAGCGAAGGCAGCUCGCUGGGACGUUACUGACGCUGAGGCGCGAAAGCGUGGGGAGCGAACAGGAUUAGAUACCCUGGUAGUCCACGCCGUAAACGAUGGGUACUAGGUGUGGGAGGUGUCGACUCCUCCCGUGCCGGCGCUAACGCAUUAAGUACCCCGCCUGGGGAGUACGGCCGCAAGGCUA
rnacentral:rRNA from 1 species